CAUUAAACCCCUACAACUCAUCCAGAACGCCGCAGCCCGUCUGGUGUUCAACCUUCCCAAGUUCUCUCACGUCACCCCGCUCCUCCGCUCUCUCCACUGGCUUCCAGUCGAAGCUCGCAUCCGCUACAAGACCAUGGUGCUUGCCUACGGAGCUGUGAGGGGAACGGCACCUCCGUACCUUCACGCUCUGAUCAGGCCCUACACCCAAACAAGGGCACUCCGUUCAUCCACCUCUGGCCUGCUCGCCUCCCUACCUCUGAGGAAGCACAGUUCCCGCUCAGCCCAGUCAAAACUGUUCGCUGCUCUGGCACCCCAAUGGUGGAACAAGCUCCCUCACGACGCCAGGACAGCGGAGUCAAUCACCACCUUCCGGAGACACCUGAAACCCCACCUCUUCAAGGAAUACCUGGGAUAGGAUAAAACUUACAGCUCAUUGCAGAAGGUCCUUGUGGCCUUCAGGAGGAGGGUGUUGUUGCCUGCUUUACAGGCACUUUGCCCUGGUCUCUGCAGCCAUGCAGGAUGCAGCUCGGAUCCUCCAGUCAGGUGAGUCUAGACUAGAUGAUGCCCUCUGUGACCAUUCAACCCUGCCAUGAGGCUGCCGUGCACCUCCACACCUUAGUGGCCCGUUUGUGCACGCUGGUUAGAGCAGUAUUGGCGGCCUCAGUGUCAUGCCCAAAUAAUAAAGGCCUCAAUAUGGCCUCGUCUACCCCCAAUUAAUGUGAUAGCAUAGUUAUGCUUAAUUUGAAAGCAUUGAUUUAGUACCACUCUCUUUACUCUGACCAAUGUUUUGAUGGGAAAUUAUGUGGUUUAAUGCAUUUCUGUCGGAAGGCAAAGCCUGCCUGGUAGCUGUGGGCUGCAGCUUGUCUGUUCAAUGCUUUGGAGACUGACAGAAAGACUGCUUUACAGCUAACAUGCACCCAAAUUCAUACAUCACUAUAGCACCACAGGCAGAGCAGAGCAGCCCGUAUACAAGCAGAAUACUUCCUGCUCAAAACAGUGCACUGAAUAAAGUAUCUAGAGCAAGGCCUCUCAUUUGUGCUGCAGUAUAGCAUAUGUGUAAAAGAAACCUCUCCAACAGAGUUGUCUGUCUGAUUCAACCUCUCCAAGCAGGAAGUGUGUUUUUGUUCCAUACGGACUCAAACUGUUGACUUUGAUAUCUCCCAGCACAAAGUAAUCUUUAAAUCAAAGCCCCGCGGGUAGGUAGAUGAAGGCUCUGCCGUGUCAACACAUUUAGGAUGUCUGUGGAGUGAGAUUAUCCAGUUUGUGAUGAUUUGAACGCUCGUCAAUGUCUGCAAAUUAAAGGUUAUUUUAAGCUCCAGAUUAGCAUUUUUCCGCACCUCAUUAGGUAAGGAGAUGAGUUGAUCAGAUGACUGGGAGAAUCAGAGAAUCCCACUUAGUCACUGUGAAGUAAGCCUCCUUGUACUAGACUGCACUAUCUACCUUAAUUCUUUAGAAACAAACACACAACCUGUUACAAUGGACCGUUUCACUCUCUCUCCUGACGAUAGACAUUUGUUAAUAAACAGUCACAUACCCAGUUGUUUCUGUGCUGGAAAAUGCAACCAAGCCUAACUGAUGAUAUUAGUCUAAGCAGGCCAACAACAGCAAAUGCGUCUCUUCAUUUGAAUGAGUUUCCCUCUGCAAAUUCAACAACAUUUUGUUCAGGCCUGUAAUUGUCUUUAUUUCCGUGCAGAAGCAUCAGGUGAGUGAGAGAGUGAGUGUGGGUAAUAAGGCUCUCGUUGAUAAACUGUAAAGCUACAGUAAUGCAGCCUGGCUGGUGUACGUCUGAGAGGGCACCACACGUUUCCUCCCAGCAUUACUGCGCACAGCUAAUUCAUUUGUCAGGAUAAGGCAAGUGAAAAUGUGUGCUCUAAUUUGAGGCACUUAAUUUAAACGGCCGUGAAAGCAAACUUUGGUAGAUAUUAGGAAAACAAACUAAUUAAUGUCUUGGGGGAGCGGCAGGUUAAGACCUUGAAGGAAAUGUUAUCCUGGGGGUAAAUAUUUGAACUGCCCUCUGCCAGGGCAGACUGGGAUAAAAAUUCAGCCCUGGCAUUUCAGCCUCACUGCGCGCG
rnacentral:lncRNA from 1 species